ensembl:lincRNA
AGUGGGCGGAGGAAGCUCAUCAGUGGGGCCACGUGCGGAGUGCUCGUCACUCUUCGGCCCCUGGGAAGGUCUGAGACUAGGGCCUCCCGCGGCUCUAACCGGGCUCUCCCCGAGCGGGGAGGUGAGUUCCCAGAGAGCAGGGCUCUACGCGUGGGCAGACUGGGCAGGAGAAGCCCCGAGUGGGGCGGAUGCCUCCCUCGCCGGAGCUUGGAACAGACUCACGGCCAGCAGUGCGAG